rnacentral:misc_RNA from 1 species
GUGAAUCAUCAAAUCUUUGAACGCAAAUUGCACUCCCUCGUAUUCCGGGGAGUAUGCCUGUUUGAGGGCCGUUAGAACAAAAAUCGAAGCGUCGCUCUUUUUUUUUAAGGGGUAUUGCGUCGGAAUUGAGGCGUUUUUUAAAUGUUAAUUUAUGUUAAAGUGGGCUGAAAUUCAUCCAUUCGGUACGAUUAAAGGGUUUUUAAGGU